rnacentral:rRNA from 1 species
AGACGUUUGAUCCUGGCUCAGGAUGAACGCUGGCGGCGUGCUUAAUACAUGCAAGUCGAACGAGGAUAUUUCGCUGAUGCGAUUCGUCAAAUCUUGAAAUAUCUUAGUGGCGGACGGGUGAGUAACGCGUGGGUAACCUGCCUUACACAGGGGGAUAACAGUUAGAAAUGACUGCUAAUACCGCAUAAGCGCACGAGAUCGCAUGAUCAUGUGUGAAAAGAUUUAUCGGUGUAAGAUGGACCCGCGUCUGAUUAGCUUGUUGGCGGGGUAAGGGCCCACCAAGGCGACGAUCAGUAGCCGGUCUGAGAGGAUGAACGGCCACAUUGGAACUGAGACACGGUCCAAACUCC